rnacentral:tRNA from 1 species
GUUCAGGUAGCUCAGUAGGUAGAGCAAAGGACUGAAAAUCCUUGUGUCGGCGGUUCGAUCCCGCCCUUGGACA